ACAAAGUUUUAUUCUAGCUUUGUAUAUUGGGUAAAUUUAUUUAAUUAUAUGAAAAUUUUAGUGUGUUGUAAUAUUUUUUUAAAUAGAAAAUAUGGAUUUAAAAAUAAAUUUCAAUAAUUAGUUUUAAAUAUUAGGGAAAUCUUGAUUUAGACAUAAAUUUUAAUAUUAUCUAAGAUUGUGCCAGCAGAAGCGGUUAAACAAUCAAUAUAACUUAAUAUCUUUAGUUUUAAUUAAUUUAAGUAUUGAAUGAAUAAAAAUUUUAAUUUAUUAAGUGAAAUUUUUAAAUUUUAAGAAAAAUUUUAUAAUAUUUAAUGAAGUUAGUAAAUCUAAUUUUUAAACUAGGAUUAGAUACCCUAUUAUUUUAGAUGUAGAUUUUUAAGCUAAAUGAUUAAUAGUUAUGAUCUUUAAAGUUAAAGAAUUUGGCGGUAUUUUAGUCUAUUCAGAGGAACCUGUCCUAUAAUUGAUGAUCCACGAUUUAUUAUACCAAUAUUUUAAAUUUGUAUAUCGUCGUAUUUAAAUAUUUUAAAAGAAUUGGCAAUAUUUGAAAUUUUAUUAAUUAAAAGUAUUUCAGAUCAAGAUGUAGUCUAUAUAUUGGGAGAGAUGGGUUACAUUAAUAAAAUUUGUAGCUUAAUAAUUGAAAAUUAUUAUAAAAAUGGAUUUGAAAGUAAUAGUAAAUAUUUUUUUAUUAUGAGUAAGCUCUAAAAUAUGUACAUAUCGCCCGUCGCUUUCGCUAUAAAGUGAAAUAAGUCGUAACAAAGUAAUCUUACUGGAAAGUGAGGUUAGACGUUC
rnacentral:ncRNA from 1 species